rnacentral:rRNA from 1 species
UACGUAGGGCGCAAGCGUUGUCCGGAAUUAUUGGGCGUAAAGAGCUCGUAGGCGGUUUGUCGCUUCUGCUGUGAAAACCUAAGGCUUAACCUUGGGCUUGCAGUGGGUACGGGCAGACUAGAGUGCGGUAGGGGUGACUGGAAUUCCUGGUGUAGCGGUGGAAUGCGCAGAUAUCAGGAGGAACACCGAUGGCGAAGGCAGGUCACUGGGCCGCAACUGACGCUGAGGAGCGAAAGCAUGGGGAGCGAACAGG